rnacentral:tRNA from 1 species
GCGACGGUAGCUCCUGCCGGAAGGAGCGUGAAUCACGGCCAUGAACUCCACCCGCCACGUUGGGCUGCCUGCCGUGAGCUGAAGGCCCGCCCGGGUUCGAUCCCCGGCCGUCGCA